CAAUUUUGCAACAUUUCUGCAUCUGUAAAGCUAUAAAAGAGAAGCUCAACAUCCAAAGAGCAACACUACAGACUCUUCUCUUGUCUCUGAGAAAACCUACUGAAGGUAAAAUUACUGCAACCAUGCUGAAGGUAGCACUUAUUCUUGGAUGCCUCCUGAGCCUCAUUGUGGCUGAACCUGUGGAGCACCAGCGUUUUGCUCGUUCAAGCUCUGGUUCUGGCUCACAUGAGAGCACCACGACUACGACCACAGCAGCAGCWGCUACAGGUACAUUAACUCUGGCCCAGAUCCUGGCCCUGCUCCAACAACUACUCAAUCAGUAAUGAUCAAAUUCAAUGGCUGCUGUUUUAACCAGAUGCCUUCUAUUCACUCAACAAUUGGACAAAUGUCAUUCUUCACCAAGUUUUGACUAAAAAUAAACAUUUUCAAUACAGA